ensembl:snRNA U4 U4 spliceosomal RNA
AUCUUUGCGCAGUGACAGUACAAUAGUCUAUGAGGUUUAUCCAAGGCACGAUUAUUGCUGUUUGAAAGUUUUACCCAAUACCCCGCCUUGCCGACUUGAAACGUAUUCAACAAUGGCAAUUUAUGAUAGUCUCUCAGGAGA